rnacentral:rRNA from 1 species
AGAGUUUGAUCCUGGCUCAGGAUGAACGCUGGCGGCGUGCCUAACACAUGCAAGUCGAGCGAAGCGAUUCGGAUGAAGUUUUCGGAUGGAUUUUGGAUUGACUGAGCGGCGGACGGGUGAGUAACGCGUGGGUAACCUGCCUCAUACAGGGGGAUAACAGUUAGAAAUGACUGCUAAUACCGCAUAAGCGCACAGUACCGCAUGGUACGGUGUGAAAAACUCCGGUGGUAUGAGAUGGACCCGCGUCUGAUUAGGUAGUUGGUGGGGUAACGGCCUACCAAGCCGACGAUCAGUAGCCGACCUGAGAGGGUGACCGGCCACAUUGGGACUGAGACACGGCCCAAACUCCUACGGGAGGCAGCAGUGGGGAAUAUUGCACAAUGGGGGAAACCCUGAUGCAGCGACGCCGCGUGAGUGAAGAAGUAUUUCGGUAUGUAAAGCUCUAUCAGCAGGGAAGAAAAUGACGGUACCUGACUAAGAAGCCCCGGCUAACUACGUGCCAGCAGCCGCGGU